rnacentral:rRNA from 1 species
AUUGGACGCUGGCGGCAGGCCUAACACAUGCAAGUCGAGCGGAUGAAGGGAGCUUGCUCCUGGAUUCAGCGGCGGACGGGUGAGUAAUGCCUAGGAAUCUGCCUGGUAGUGGGGGAUAACGUCCGGAAACGGGCGCUAAUACCGCAUACGUCCUGAGGGAGAAAGUGGGGAUCUUCGGACCUCACGCUAUCAGAUGAGCCUAGGUCGGAUUAGCUAGUUGGUGGGGUAAAGGCCUACCAAGGCGACGAUCCGUAACUGGUCUGAGAGGAUGAUCAGUCACACUGGAACUGAGACACGGUCCAGACUCCUACGGGAGGCAGCAGUGGGGAAUAUUGGACAAUGGGCGAAAGCCUGAUCCAGCCAUGCCGCGUGUGUGAAGAAGGUCUUCGGAUUGUAAAGCACUUUAAGUUGGGAGGAAGGGCAGUAAGUUAAUACCUUGCUGUUUUGACGUUACCAACAGAAUAAGCACCGGCUAACUUCGUG